rnacentral:rRNA from 1 species
GACGAACGCUGGCGGCGUGCUUAACACAUGCAAGUCGAGCGGGAUCCAACCGGUGGCAACACCGGGGAAGAUCUAGCGGCGAACGGGUGAGUAACACGUGAGCAACCUGCCCCGAAGACUGGGAUAACACCGGGAAACCGGUGCUAAUACCGGAUGUCGUCAUUAGGCCGCAUGACCUGAUGAUGAAAGGAUUCAUCGCUUCGGGAGGGGCUCGCGGGCUAUCAGCUUGNGGUGGGGUAACGGCCUACCAAGGCGACGACGGCUAGCUGGUCUGAGAGGACGACCAGCCACACUGGGACUGAGACACGGCCCAGACUCCUACGGGAGGCAGCAGUGGGGAAUCUUGCGCAAUGGGCGAAAGCCUGACGCAGCAACGCCG